GUGCUUGCUCCGGCAGCACAUAUGCUAAAAAAUUGGAACAAUACAAAGAGGAUCAGCAUGGCCUCUGUUCAAGGAUGACACACAAAUUCUUGUGUGAAGCAUCCAUAUUUC
ensembl:snRNA U6 U6 spliceosomal RNA